rnacentral:lncRNA from 1 species
UGGUGAUUUGGGAUUGAAUUAUUUAGUGGGCUAAACUUAAUGAACUCUCUUUACUUUCUUCUGGUGAUUUGUCUUUUCUGUCAAAAGUCUUUUUUAAAUUUAUUUUUUUUAACUUUGACGUUACUCAUAGCUUAACUAUCAUUUUCGUGGCAACAUCACUAUUUAAAAGUGAAAGAUUUUUUUAACAAUAUUUUUCUCAAAUAAUUUUUAAGAAUUAUUAACUAUAUACUCCCUCCGUCCCAUUUUAUGUGACACCAUUUUCUUUUUGGUCAGUUCCAAAAAGAAUGUCACAUUUACUAAUAUGGUAAGUAUUUAAAGUUACAAUUCUUUUUUUACCCUUGUUGGUUCCACUUAAUUUUAAAAUAAUACUCCAAUACAUUUAUGAAGAGAGAGAAAAACGAGUCUUCUUUUUAAAGACAAUUUGAUAAACAUUUCAAAGUCUUCAUUUAUUUUUUAAACUCCGUGCCCGGUCAAAUGUUGCCACAUAAAAUGGGACGGAGGGAAUAGUACUUUUAUAUAAUUAAAA